AGUGAACGCUGGCGGUAGGCCUAACACAUGCAAGUCGAACGGCAGCACAGUAAGAGCUUGCUCUUACGGGUGGCGAGUGGCGGACGGGUGAGGCAUACAUCGGAAUCUACUUUUUCGUGGGGGAUAGCGUAGGGAAACUUACGCUAAUACCGCAUACGACCUACGGGUGAAAGUAGGGGAUCUUCGGACCUUGCGCGAUUGAAUGAGCCGAUGUCGGAUUAGCUAGUUGGCGGGGUAAAGGCCCACCAAGGCGACGAUGCGUAGCUGGUCUGAGAGGAUGAUCAGCCACACUGGAACUGAGACACGGUCCAGACUCCUACGGGAGGCAGCAGUGGGGAAUAUUGGACAAUGGGCGCAAGCCUGAUCCAGCCAUACCGCGUGGGUGAAGAAGGCCUUCGGGUUGUAAAGCCCUUUUGUUGGGAAAGAAAAGCAGCAGGUUAAUACCCCGCUGUUCUGACGGUACCCAAAGAAUAAGCACCGGCUAACUUCGUG
rnacentral:rRNA from 1 species